rnacentral:tRNA from 11 species
GUGUGGCCGAGUGGUUGAGACGCCAGGGUAAUAAUCUGGUGGUCGCAGGUUGGAGCCCAG